CACUGUGUUUCACUCGACGAUGGCACCUGCGUUGUAUUAGCUAGUUGCGGUGAGGUAACGGCUCACCAAGGCGACGAUACAUAGCCGACCUGAGAGGGUGAUCGGCCACACUGGGACUGAGACACGGCCCAGACUCCUACGGGAGGCAGCAGUAGGGAAUCUUCGGCAAUGGGGGCAACCCUGACCGAGCAACGCCGCGUGAGUGAAGAAGGUUUUCGGAUCGUAAAGCUCUGUUGUAAGAGAAGAACGUGUGUGAGAGUGGAAAGUUCACACAGUGACGGUAACUUACCAGAAAGGGACGAUAC
rnacentral:rRNA from 1 species